AUUGAACGCUAGCGGGAUGCUUUACACAUGCAAGUCGAACGGCAGCGCGGACUUCGGUCUGGCGGCGAGUGGCGAACGGGUGAGUAAUGUAUCGGAACGUGCCCAGUAGCGGGGGAUAACUACGCGAAAGCGUAGCUAAUACCGCAUACGCCCUACGGGGGAAAGCAGGGGAUCGUAAGACCUUGCACUAUUGGAGCGGCCGAUAUCGGAUUAGCUAGUUGGUGAGGUAACGGCUCACCAAGGCGACGAUCCGUAGCUGGUUUGAGAGGACGACCAGCCACACUGGGACUGAGACACGGCCCAGACUCCUACGGGAGGCAGCAGUGGGGAAUUUUGGACAAUGGGGGCAACCCUGAUCCAGCCAUCCCGCGUGUGCGAUGAAGGCCUUCGGGUUGUAAAGCACUUUUGGCAGGAAAGAAACGUCGCGGGCUAAUACCCCGUGGAACUGACGGUACCUGCAGAAUAAGCACCAGCUAACUACGUG
rnacentral:rRNA from 1 species